CAAGUAGCGUGAAGGAUGACUGCCCUAUGGGUNGUAAACUUNUUUUAUACGGGAAUAAAGUGAGGCACGUGUGCCUUUUUGUAUGUACCGUAUGAAUAAGGAUCGGCUAACUCCGUGCCAGCAGCCGCGGUAAUACGGAGGAUCCGAGCGUUAUCCGGAUUUAUUGGGUUUAAAGGGAGCGUAGGCGGACGCUUAAGUCAGUUGUGAAAGUUUGCGGCUCAACCGUAAAAUUGCAGUUGAUACUGGGUGUCUUGAGUACAGUAGAGGCAGGCGGAAUUCGUGGUGUAGCGGUGAAAUGCUUAGAUAUCACGAAGAACUCCGAUUGCGAAGGCAGCUUGCUGGACUGUAACUGACGCUGAUGCUCGAAAGUGUGGGUAUCAAACAGGAUUAGAUACCCUGGUAGUCCACACAGUAAACGAUGAAUACUCGCUGUUUGCGAUAUACAGUAAGCGGCCAAGCGAAAGCGUUAAGUAUUCCACCUGGGGAGUACGCCGGCAACGGUGAAACUCAAAGGAAUUGACGGGGGCCCGCACAAGCGGAGGAACAUGUGGUUUAAUUCGAUGAUACGCGAGGAACCUUACCCGGGCUUGAAUUGCAACUGAAUGAUGUGGAGACAUGUCAGCCGCAAGGCAGUUGUGAAGGUGCUGCAUGGUUGUCGUCAGCUCGUGCCGUGAGGUGUCGGCUUAAGUGCCAUAACGAGCGCAACCCUUAUCGAUAGUUACCAUCAGGUUAUGCUGGGGACUCUGUCGAGACUGCCGUCGUAAGAUGUGAGGAAGGUGGGGAUGACGUCAAAUCAGCACGGCCCUUACGUCCGGGGCUACACACGUGUUACAAUGGGGGGUACAGAAGGCAGCUACACGGUGACGUGAUGCUAAUCCCGAAAGCCUCUCUCAGUUCGGAUUGGAGUCUGCAACCCGACUCCAUGAAGCUGGAUUCGCUAGUAAUCGCGCAUCAGCCACGGCGCGGUGAAUACGUUCCCGGGCCUUGUACACACCGCCCGUCAAGCCAUGAAAGCCGGGGGUACCUGAAGUGCGUAACCGCAAGGAGC
rnacentral:rRNA from 3 species